rnacentral:rRNA from 1 species
AACGCUGGCGGCAUGCCUUACACAUGCAAGUCGAACGGCAGCACGGGUGCUUGCACCUGGUGGCGAGUGGCGAACGGGUGAGUAAUACAUCGGAACGUACCUUAUCGUGGGGGAUAACGCAGCGAAAGUUGCGCUAAUACCGCAUACGCCCUGAGGGGGAAAGCGGGGGACCGUAAGGCCUCGCGCGAUUAGAGCGGCCGAUGUCUGAUUAGCUUGUUGGUGAGGUAAAAGCUCACCAAGGCGAUGAUCAGUAGCUGGUCUGAGAGGACGAUCAGCCACACUGGGACUGAGACACGGCCCAGACUCCUACGGGAGGCAGCAGUGGGGAAUUUUGGACAAUGGGGGCAACCCUGAUCCAGCAAUGCCGCGUGAGUGAAGAAGGCCUUCGGGUUGUAAAGCUCUUUUGUCAGGGAAGAAACAGCAGCUCUAACACAGUCUGCGAAUGACGGUACCUGAAGAAUAAGCACCGGCUAACUACGUGCCAGCAGCCGCGGUAAUACGUAGGGUGCGAGCGUUAAUCGGAAUUACUGGGCGUAAAGCGUGCGCAGGCGGUUAUACAAGACAGGCGUGAAAUCCCCGGGCUUAACCUGGGAAUGGCGUCUGUGACUGUAUAGCUAGAGUGUGUCAGAGGGGGGUGGAAUUCCACGUGUAGCAGUGAAAUGCGUAGAUAUGUGGAGGAACACCAAUGGCGAAGGCAGCCCC